rnacentral:lncRNA from 1 species
CUGGGACUUUCAGCAAGUGGCCUCCCCCAGCCUCGGUUAAUGGAGAAUGAGGCCCUGGGGGAGGCGGCCUUCCAGCUCUAGAUCUCUGGUUCUGUCCUUGGAGGAAGACGGAUGGGUCGAGUCUCUCCCACCUGUCCCACGCAGGGGAGGGCCCUGGAGGGAUGGAGGCCAUAGAAGCAUCCAGCUGGCUCUGAGAGGCGACCCCGUUGGGAGGCUGUCCCCAGCUCUGUUGCUCUGAAUGGAUCAGCACUUGGCAGUGGGGGCUUCCUCCCAGGGUCCCCCGGAGCUCCUGAAGAGCUAGUCUUACUUGGUCCUGCUUAUUGGGGGGGGGAAGCAGAACUUUCUGGCACUUGUGAACCCGGAACCAGCGGAGGAAGGCGAGGUGAACCAGAGCUGAGACUGCAGGAAGCUGCGAGUGAUGGGGAAGGGUUCUUCCUUAGACACGCUCCUGGCAUGGACUGGGGGGGGGUCUGUUUGUUCAGUGAAAAUGGUCCCCUUUCCUCGGCCUUGGUGGAGAGACUCCCAGAGCUUUCACUGUCUUGAAUUUUGUGUGGUAAACUUUUGCUCUAGAAUGUAGGGACAUUGUUGGAGAUGCUGCUCUGAACUUGGGCCCUCUUCAGGUACAGAGGCUGGGUCUAGAACCCGCUGACGAGCUCCGUGUGGGAGUCCACUCCCCACAGGGGAUAAGACCCAGGCCUUCCAGGGGCGGGCUGCUGAGGUGAUCAGCUUGGACCCAGCCUGUCCUCAAAUGCUAGGGACCAGAUUAGGGUGAGCCAGGUGCAGUUGGGAUGCGGGAAAGCCCCCCUGCAGUACACCUCGGUGGCACUGGGAGCCCCUUCCUCUUCAGAGGAAGCAGAAGGUUUGGGCGACUUCUCGCUAGAGGCUCUUUGUGGACGUGGGUGCCCUAGCAUGCUUCUCCCCAGCUGACCAUCCCCCUCCGCCCCUUGAUCCCCUGGGCCCUCUCCAUCUGGUGCUUCUCUCUUUGGCUGAGCCAGGCCCGGGGUAGGAGGGGACUUGAUUGGAACUUGCCAGAGACUGCCCCGUUUCCCUCCUGUGCCAUCUUCUAUCUGCUCUGCCGGCCAGCUUGGGUUUGCUAGGGAACACAAGCAUGUCCCCUCGCCCUUGGCCCAGAGCGGUCUAGCAAGACCUGAAGUCUUGGAGCUGGGCCCUCACUCGCAGGGCCCAGGGCCAGGCCCAGGCCCAGAUGCUCUCAGUAAGCCCUUCUCUGGAGCAGUCUGGCCCGUCUCCCUCUCCUGGCCCAACAGCCCAGCUCUCACUGGGCUUGCUUCUGGAUCAGGCCAUGUCCCUGAGGGCCAAUCCUGGCCGGCUUUUGGUCAUUUCUUUAGUGGACCACGGAGCAUGGGGACAAAGCCACCCCCCCAUCCCUGCUAUUGCCCGAGCUACACUACCAGGAGGAGCACCCCUUCCACGCCCAUGACUCCCUGGUCCAGUAGUCCCCAGUUUUGUGAAUUCUAAAAGCUACAGGCUAGACCUCGGUGCCCAGGAAAAUUGUGUUCUAGGGAGUGUGGAAGUGCUUAGAAAGGGAAGUCAAUAAAGUGGUGGUCACUGGGAGCCAGCAUGAGUCCAGCAAGAUGAAGUCUGGCCUUUCCUUCUUUGAUAGAGUUGUUACUGGAUGGGUUUGAGAUCUCCCUUAACCAUGCUGGUUUGGCAGUCCUGACUGGUGUCCCAUGUGGUAUGAGUAGGGUAACAUAAGGAUUUCAAUACUUAGUGAUAUUUUUCCCUCCAAAAUAUUAAAUAUGAAAUUAUGUAUGUACCCGGGAUACUUGUGUGGCAGUUUUUCAGUAUGAAAAUGGACAUCAUUUCCUCUUAUUCUGAUCCGGUAUUUUCCUCACUGCUGCCACCGUCUCCCCCCUUUCCCAAUUCUGGAUAUGUGCUAGAAACAUUGCCCCCCACCCCCAAAUGCUUAGAGCCAUCUCUCGAACCCAAAGGUGUCUGGUAAUGAGUUUGGGUGCCCUCUUCACACACAUUGAAAUGUAUACACAUACAUGCUUGUGUGCACACACGCCUCUACCCCGAUCCAUGCUGGCUUUGACCUUCCCACCCCCGGCUCAGUGCCAUUGAUUGGCCCAGCCCCUGGGGGCCAGCAUGGCCAGGCAGGUCCCUGGUAUGGGAGGGGUACAGCACCCCCAAUGCCUUUCUGCUCCCCCAUCAUGGCCUGGAGACCAGAGCAGGGAGGGAAGGUGUGGGCGCCCUUGCACCUCCCUUCCUUGCUUAUUCUCUCAUUCCAGCCAGUUGUGCCCCUCCCCAAGGUCUGCCCCAAAUUUCUGCC